rnacentral:lncRNA from 1 species
GUUAUGUUCACGACAUCAGUCAGUCAAACAAACAAACAACUCCUCAAUGAAGCAGCAUCUUCACAGGCAGAGAGACUCACAGUGAAACACUGACCACUGUGAGCACACCAGGCAGAAGAUUAAACUCUCGGGAAGCUGAGGGAGUCUAGUGUCUGAAGGAACAAACACUGACUGACACCACGUCAGUCCUCAGGUGGUCGUUUACAUGUCACUUCGUUUUAGAGAGAAUUUAACCUGUUAUCACAUGAGUGACUCUCUGAGGAGGACUGUCAGUCUGAACUGAAGCUGCUCUGUGGAAACAGCCAGUUUCCUUUAAUGUACAUCUGAAUUUAUAUGUUAAUAUUCACAAGAUUUGACUAUUAAGUGGGCUUUUACUUUGAAAUUCCUCAUUAAAUCCUCCAGAUAUUGUGUUUGUUUUCAUGUUGGACUAAUUAUCAUUCACACAGAUGAGCUGUCACGGCCUCCAUAGUCUUCAGUGUGAUCAGAGGUAGGAUGGUAAUAUGAAUGAAGUAAAUAAUCAAUUAAUUAAUUAACUCAUCGUUUAAUUAAUUCAUCAAUCAAUUAACAGACUGACUAAUUGAAUGAAUUCAUGUGAACUUGCAAACUGCGUUCACAGGUCGGUGCUUUUAUUUUGAAUUCCGUUCUUGGACGGCAUUACCGUAAUAUCUACUGUAAACAGGCACCACAGAAUACCUGCGGGCUGGUUGACCGGGUUUACAGAGAGGAGGCGGGCUGGACCGCAGCGAACCUCCAGCUCGGCUCGACUCGGCUCGACUCGGCUCUGAUACCAGGUCCAGAGGUGGGUCAGAACUACAGCAGAACCUUCCCACGGGGGACGAUGUGGAGAAUCUGCGCAGGAUUCCUGAACCGAAGGGAGGUCACAUUCGGUUACACACGAGGCUGAAAACACUCUGCUGCUGAGGAAACACAGGGAAGACACAGCGGCUCGGUUCUGCUAAGUUCUGCUUGGUUCUGCUUCGUCUGCUUCAGACAGACAGGUAAGAAGAGCCACAUUUAUGAACAGAACUGAGUGCAGCUGGAUUAUAAACUUAUUAGAAACGGUGUGAUACUUGAGUGGGAAAGAGGCGCGUAUGCUGUCCCGGCCCUGAGUAAUCUGGUGGCCGAGGCCGGCGCCCUGUUGCAUCGCAGUCAAUUUCACAACCAAUUUUCAUACACUCACACAGAAACUGCAUGUAUAUAUUCAAGAUUGAUAAGUGAUAAAAAUACAAUAUAAAUAUCUCUCAGCCUCAGAGUGCCGUGUCUCUCUUAUCGAUUGUCAGCCGCUUUGCAAAACGACCUCCAACUCCUUCAUGUUGUCAUGUAGGUAUUGUGCUCCUGGUGAAAUAUGUUAAAGUGCAUCUGAAGAGAGAAGAGAAGUUUAUGUGACCACUGCAUGUUGAAUUUUAAUAAAAACAAACAGAUGUUUGGUGUGUGCCAUACAUAAGACUAAUAUAGACUAAUAAUGAAAAUGUGAUGAGAUUCAUUCAACUUUAUUGUCAUUGAAAAGCAAUUCAGUCUAACCAGAGUACAAGU